GACAAUAAAAGCUUAAGGCAUUUACAAAAUACUGGUUUCAAUUAGCAGUUGGCUGAACCCUCCUCAAAGCUUUUCCAGCUAAUCAAGGCAGCUUAAAUGGUAAAUAUUCCCAGCUAGAUUUAGAGGAGGGAUCUGCAGUGCUGGACUCCUGGGCUGUAUUCCCGACAUGCUACGUGAUGCAGAGUGAGUCAGGUCACCGUUUCCUGCUGCUGGAUGGAGAUUGUGAUUCUGCUGCCUGCUGCAGAGGAGCGUCUGGCGUGUUGGGGCAGGACUUGGGGCCAUGCUUCACGUGUAUGACUUUUACCAUGGCUGUUCUGCCUUCUUGCAGAUGCCCAAAUUCACUUUGUGACCAGUCUGUCUGGAUAUGGACCUGUGAUGAAGAGGAACUCUUGGCCGUAGCACAGGGCCCUGUACACUGUGAUCCUGGAAGAGCACCUGGACAGAUGAGCCAUGGAGUUUGGGAAGAAAAUCUGGGUGGAAAAUGAGCAGCCUCAAAGAUGAGAGACCUUUGGGGCCAAGCCUUACUCAGGUGGGAAGAGGCGCUACCCAUUGACCUGAGGAGAGACAGGACUUUGCUCUGCAGAACUGGAAGAUAUACCCCCCACCCCUAGGAUCAGACCUCAGGACCUGGGGACACUGCAGGGAAGUUGGAUGGAGAGCUGCAUGAGCUGCAGUUGUCUUCUUUCUUCUCUUCCCCUUGUGUAAAGAACUGGCAGGUGGCUUUAUAUGCCACCUCGAUCCUGCUUGGAAAGACAGUACCAAACACAAUGUGACCCUAUCAGUCAUUGAGACCUGGAUUAGAGAUUACAACUAAUAAAAAUAUGUGACCAUGUCUUGUGGGAUCCAAGCAAUGCUCCCAAGCUGACCAGUCUGUUUCUGGGUGACACUGUCCCUCCAGUGGGGUCUUCUGUCACAUGUUAAGAGAAAGUGGGUCUGAGAGUACAGCCAUCCUGCCUAUCCUUCCUGGUGGAAGCUGCUGAAUGGCCACCAGUGCUCCAAGAGUUCCUGUCCUGGCAUCUCUCUCGAGGGUGAGCUGCUAUUGUCCACUUGGAGGCUAUUUUCAGCACCUUUAUGCGGCUCACCUGCAUCCACUCUAGAUGAAAUCCUGAGGAAAUCCUUAUUAUUUAUCCACUUCAACUUUCUUCCUUCCCCAAAGUCUUGAAUCAGUUGCUGGCUAUAAAGCUUGUGAAUUGAGAGAUCUGCUCCAAGUUGGCUUCUUCUUCUUUUUCUUUUUUGGCAAACUAAAUUCAUCGCUACUGUGCUGCCCACAGGGUCUCACUGGCUAUGUGUCCCAGAGGAAAGACUUGUGAUUACGGAGCAGUUAGAAAAUGCUCCUUCAUAUACCCUUCCUCCAGCGCAGGGCUCCAGCACUAGGGUUUUUUAACGGGCAGACAGAAUUCCCAUACAAAGCUCAUGUCCCAGCCCAGCGGUGAGGUGGGUUUCACAUCUCCCACCCAUCUGUGCUAAGUUUAAAAUCCACCAUGUGACAGAAUUCACCCAGCCUCGAAAAGCCAAUGAGAUCUAGAGGUCAAAGCAGAGACUACUGCCUCCCAGGAUAGGGAGCAUCUGCCUACCAUCCUCAGAAAGGCUCUGCUCCCCCCAGCCCCAACUGGUCAGGGCACGAAGGCGAAAAGCCAGAGGUCACACAGUUCUCACUGCAGACCCAGGUUGAAGAAGUGACAGCGCUACAAGGUCUUUGGGAGCAGUCUUUGCAUUGCGAAAAGGGACUGAAAAAGCCACUGGAUGGCUUUUAGCAGGUUAGAACAGAGGGAUCAGCGUCCAGAGCAUUUCUACCAGCUCUAUUUACUCUUCCUCCCCACUGAGCUCCUGCCCACUGGCUCCCAGCUUCACUGGAGUUGGUCACAGCCAGCUCCUCUGACUUCCAAGUGCUUCCGUAUGGGAGGGGGCUUUCAAAAACCAUUGAAAAGGAAAAU